rnacentral:rRNA from 1 species
AGCAGCCGCGGUAAUUCCAGCUCCAAUAGCGUAUAUUAAAGUUGCUGCAGUUAAAAAGCUCGUAGUUGAAUUUCGGGACCAAUCUGCCGGUCGUGCCUCCGGUACGCACUGGUUUUAUUGGUUUCUCCCUUCUGACGAACCAUGAUGUCAUUAAUUUGGUGUCAUGGGGAAUCAGGACUGUUACUUUGAAAAAAUUAGAGUGUUUAUAGCAGGCUCACGCUUGAAUACAUUAGCAUGGAAUAAUGAAAUAGGACGUUCGAUCCUAUUUUGUUGGUUUCUAGGAUUGACGUAAUGAUUAAUAGGGAUAGUUGGGGGCAUUAGUAUUCAAUUGUCAGAGGUGAAAUUCUUGGAUUUAUUGAAGACUAACUACUGCGAAAGCAUUUGCCAAGGAUGUUUUCAUUAAUCAAGAACGAAAGUUAGGGGAUCGAAGACGAUCAGAUACCGUCGUAGUCUUAACCAUAAACUAUGCCGACUAGGGAUCGGAUGAUGUUAAUUUUUUAAUGACUCAUUCGGCGCCUUA